AUGGAAGUCAGACACGGCAGAGGUCAGGCAGGGGCUGCCGGGCAGCAGGGUCAGCUCCAACAUCAGCCCAUGGGGUUUUCCUGCAGUGCCCGUUGCUGCUGAGAGCUGUGCUGUGCUGCAGGAAUGCGGCUCACCCGAACUACAGCAAAGCUGCUGCUGUUGCAUCAGAUCAGCUUUCCCAUGGAUGAGCUGGCUGGAAGGAAGAUAUAAAUCCUCCCUCUUCUAGUUGCAAGAGAAAGCAGGCAAGGAACUGGAAAACGAGCGAAAAGAAGAGCAGCAGCGAUCUCGGCUCAACACAUAGGCUCUGAAGAAGUCCUCUGUGGCUCACAGAGAAGUGAACUUAGAGGCACAGACAGGGAAUCGUGGCAUAUCAUAGAGUCAUAGAAGGGCCUGGGUUGCAAAGGACCACAAUGCUCAUCCAGUCCCAACCCCCUGCUAUGUGCAGGGUCGCCAACCAGCAGCCCAGGCUGCCCAGAGCCACAUCCAGCCUGGCCUUGAAUGCCUGCAGGGAUGGGGCAUCCACAGCCUCCUUGGGCAACCUGCUCCAGUGGUUGCGUUCAUCCCUUGAGAUGUGGCAUCCCCAGAACUGUCAUGCCAUACGAGGCGUGAUAAACCACACUGACACCACGCUUUGUCUUUCAGGAGAGCCCAGGAGAUGCAUAGAAGCCCUCCUGAGCUGUGCAGGAUGCAGGAGCCCAGGGGUUGGCUGCAGCCCGGAGAGCUCUGAAGGACCCAUCUCUUCUUCCCAGGCCUGGCCCGUCCGUUCCGCUUUCGUUCCGUUAUAAAUAACAACGUUUAGAUUUGCUGGAAUAAAGCUUUUCCUCCUGUUUCUAAUGGUGGUAAACAUCCUCUUGUGGGCUCCCCACGGGCUGCUGGCACUGUCCCUGCGCUGUCCUGACACCUCUCAGAGCCCUGACGUGGUGUGAAGGGCUGGGGUGGUAAUAUGGGACAGGCUGGGGGAUUUCUGAAUGCAACCCCACACCCGCGUGUGGGAGUUUGAGAAGAGAGGGCACAUAAAUGGGGGGAUUUGGGGCUUACUGAGGAAGAGAUGACGCGUAAACGUGGGUAUUUAGGUGGGAAUUUGGGUCUUAUUGAGGAAGAGAGGACGUAAAUGUGGGGAUUUGGGUCUUAUUUAGGAAGAGGAGACACAAAUGUGGAUAUUUAGGUGGGAAUUUUGGGUCUUAUGAGGAGACGAUGCAAAGAUGUGAAUAUUUAGGUGGGAAUUUGGGUGUUAUUUAGGAAGAGAACACACAAAUGUGGGAAUGUGGGUCGUAUUUAUGAAGAGAAGAUACACAAACGUGGAUAUUUAGGUGGGAAUUUGGGUCUUGUUUAUGAAGAGAACGCAUAAAUGUGGGAAUUUGGGUCUUAUUCAUGAAGAGAAGAUGCACAAAUGUGGAUAUUUAGGUGAGAAUUUGGGUCUUGUUUAUGAAGAGAGGACACACACGUGUGGGAAUUUGGGUCUGUUUGUGAGGAGAGGGUACGAAAAUGUGGGAAUUUGGGGCCUUUUUUAGGAAGAGGACACACAGAUGUGGGUAUUUAGGUGGAAAUUUGGGCCUUGUUUAUGAAGAGAUGACACAUAGAUGUGGGAAUUUGGGUCUUAUGAAGAGAGGAUACACAAAUGUGGAUAUUUAGGUGGAAAUUUGGGUCUUGUUUAGGGAGAUACAGAAAUUUGGGUAUUUAGGUGGGAAUUUGGGUCUUACUGAGGAAGAGAUAACACAUAAAUGUGGGAAUUUGGUUCUUUUUGUGAGGAGAGGGUACAAAAAUGUGGGAAUUUGGGUCUUAUGAAGAGAAAAUACACAAAUGUGGAUAUUUAGGUGGAAAUUUGGGUCUUGUUUAGGGAGAUACAGAAAUUUGGGUAUUUAGGUGGGAAUUUGGGUCUUAUUGAGGAAAAGACAACACAUAAAUGUGGGAAUUUGGGUCUUUUUGUGAGGCGAGGGUAUAAAAAUGUGGGAACUUGGGGUCUUAUGAAGAGAAAAUACACAAAUUUGGGUGUUUAGGUGGGAAUUUGGGUUGUUUUUAUGAAGAGAAGGUACACAAAUGUAGAUAUUUAGGUGGAAAUUUGGGUCUUGCUUAUGAAGAGAAUGCAUAAAUGUGGGAAUUUGGGUCUUAUUCAUGAAGAGAAGAUACACAAAUGUGGAUAUUUAGGUGAGAAUUUGGGUCUUGUUUAUGAAGAGAAUGCAUAAAUGGGGGAAUUUGGGUCUGUUUGUGAGGAGAGGGUACGAAAAUGUGGGAAUUUGGGCCUUUUUUAGGAAGAGGACACACAGAUGUGGGUAUUUAGGUGGAAAUUUGGGCCUUGUUUAUGAAGAGAUGACACAUAGAUGUGGGAAUUUGGGUCUUAUGAAGAGAGGAUACACAAAUGUGGAUAUUUAGGUGGAAAUGUGGGUCUUGUUUAGGAAGAUAGAGAAAUUUGGGUAUUUAGGUGGGAAUUUGGGUCUUAUUGAGGAAGAGACAACACAUAAAUGUGGGAAUUUGGGUCUUUUUGUGAGGAGAGGGUACAAAAAUGUGGGAAUUCGGGUCUUACAAAGAGAAAAUAGACAAAUUUGGGUAUUUAGGUGGGAAUUUGGGUGUUAUUUAGGAAGAGACAACACAUAAAUGUGGGAAUUUGGGCCUUUUUGUGAGGAGAGGGUACAAAGAUGUGGGAAUUUGGGGUCUUGUGAAGAGAAAAUAAACAAAUUUGGGUGUUUAGGUGGGAAUUUGGGUUGUAUUUAUGAAGAGAAGGUACACAAAUGUGGAUAUUUAGGUGGAAAUUUGGGUCUUGCUUAUGAAGAGAAUGCAUAAAUGGGGGAAUUUGGGUCUGUUUGUGAGGAGAGGGUACGAAAAUGUGGGAAUUUGGGCCUUUUUUAGGAAGAGGACACACAGAUGUGGGUAUUUAGGUGGAAAUUUGGGCCUUGUUUAUGAAGAGAUGACACAUAGAUGUGGGAAUUUGGGUCUUAUGAAGAGAGGAUACACAAAUGUGGAUAUUUAGGUGGAAAUUUGGGUCUUGUUUAGGGAGAUACAGAAAUUUGGGUAUUUAGGUGGGAAUUUGGGUCUUACUGAGGAAGAGAUAACACAUAAAUGUGGGAAUUUGGUUCUUUUUGUGAGGAGAGGGUACAAAAAUGUGGGAAUUUGGGUCUUAUGAAGAGAAAAUACACAAAUGUGGAUAUUUAGGUGGAAAUUUGGGUCUUGUUUAGG
ensembl:lncRNA